rnacentral:rRNA from 1 species
UUCCCCACCAAUCCUUGGCUUUCUCCCUUGUGGAAGGCCCCGUUGCCCUUGAAUAUCAAGAUCUUUGUGUGGCAACUCCUUAGAGAUCGUCUCCCUUCAAGGACCGAGGUGCGUAAGCAGCAACGCCCGAGGGAUGGCAUGUGUCCCUUAUGCAUGGUGCCUGAGACUGGGACUCACAUCCUUUUCUCAUGUACCGCGGCUAGGGUCUUAUGGACGUUCGUCCGUGAGGCACUAGGGCCUGACUGGGAGGCCCUGGACCUCACGGACUUCCUCCAAACCAGGGCCACCCAACCUGGGCUGCAGCGCCGCUUAUGUUGGCUUAUUUUUGCGGCCAUGCUGUGGACUCUGUGGACAAUGCGUAAUAAGAUGGUGAUUGAGCGCGUGUUUUCCAGGCGAGCGUCUGACUCCUUCUUCAAAUUCCUUGCUUUUCUAUAG